rnacentral:lncRNA from 1 species
AGAAACCAACAGGCAUAUAAUGAGGACUCUUAAGUGGCUCUGUUGGGAGGUCCUUACAAUGAAGAACUGAGGUCUCUUGCUGGUAACUGUCACCUACUUGGUAGCCAUGUGAAUCAGGCAUCCUGCAGGUGGGUCCUCCAGCCACAGCCAAGCCUUCAAAUGACUACAUCUCCACCUGAUAUUUGGACUGCAAGCCCUUGAGAAAGCUGAGCCAGAACUACAAGUCACCUUCUGAAUCCCUGAAUCAUAGAUUGGUCAUAGGUGGAAGAAACUUGCCUUGUUUCAGAUAAGACUUUGAACUGUGGACUUUUGGGUUAUUGCUGGAACCAGAAUAUCACAGGGAGAAGAAAGAAGCCAUAGAGGAUAAAGCUGAGGAGAAGGAAAAAAAGACAAGAAAGAGAAAGAGCAGAAGAAGCAAGAGGAAGCAGAGUAGGAGAGAGAGGAAGAUGGGGGAGGAGGAAGAGGAGAAAGCUGAGAAAGCAGAACAACGACAAAUGAUAAUUACAGUAGAAGCUCACACUUACUAAGUAUUCUCUAUCUAUUAUUUCUUUAGCCUCACACCUAAGUACCAAGGGAGGUAUUUUUAUGUCUAUUUUACUGUGAAGAAACUGAAACUUAGUGAGUUAUACUGCUGAUUAGUAAUGAUAGCCACAUUCUAAACUAAUAUGUAAUACUGUUCACCAAUAGGAAGAAAAAAGAGAGACAAGGUAUAGAAGUUAGGAUAUAGGUAUCAGAAAAUCUAAAUUUCCAAAGACCAUAUCUGUUCUCAUUGCUCCAAAGGUGAAGUUUCACAUAAUACCUUAAGGGGUAUACAUGUAAGAAAAUCACAAGAGAUAAUUUUAAAACAACUUUAAAAAAUUAAAAAAAAAGAAAAAAAGAUGAGAUAUUUUAAAGGGAC